UACGUAGGGUGCGAGCGUUAAGCGGAAUUACUGGGCGUAAAGCGUGCGCAGGCGGUUUGCUAAGACCGAUGUGAAAUCCCCGGGCUUAACCUGGGAACUGCAUUGGUGACUGGCAGGCUAGAGUAUGGCAGAGGGGGGUAGAAUUCCACGUGUAGCAGUGAAAUGCGUAGAGAUGUGGAGGAAUACCGAUGGCGAAGGCAGCCCCCUGGGCCAAUACUGACGCUCAUGCACGAAAGCGUGGGGAGCAAACAGG
rnacentral:rRNA from 1 species